rnacentral:tRNA from 1 species
GGGCUGUUAGCUCAGUUUGUAGAGCAGUUGACUCUUAAUCAAUAGGUCCAAGGUUCGAAUCCUUGACAGCCCACCA